CCUACGGGUGGCAGCAGUGGGGAAUAUUGGGCAAUGGGCGCAAGCCUGACCCAGCAACGCCGCGUGAAGGAAGAAGGCUUUCGGGUUGUAAACUUCUUUUCUCAGGGACGAAGCAAGUUACGGUACCUGAGGAAUAAGCCACGGCUAACUACGUGCCAGCAGCCGCGGGAAUACGUAGGUGGCAAGCGUUAUCCGGAUUUACUGGGUGUAAGGGGCGUGUAGGCGGGGACGAAAGUCAGAUGUGAAAGCCACGGGCUCAAGCUGUGACCUGCAUUUGAUACUGUGUUUCUUGAGUACUGGGGAGGCAGACGGAAUGCCUAGUGUAGCGGUGAAAUGCGUAGAUAUUA
rnacentral:rRNA from 1 species